CUCCGGCGCGGACGCCCCCGCCGGGGAUCUCGCCGCAGCGUGCGCCUGAGCGCGGAGAGGGGCGCCUUCUCCAAGGGAAGCGGUGCCGCGGCCGCGGGGCGCCCUCGGCUCCACAGCCAGCCUGGGCCCCCUGACCCUCUCUCCUUGGAGCACUGCACCGUCCCCGGAGCGGCUUCCUUACGGAUCGCCUGCGCGCCCUCCCCGAGCUUUGCUGUGCCCGGCUGGUCACAGGAUCGUCGUCUCCCAGGAAGACGCCUCUAAUGAAUGGCUGAACCUGGCAUGUUGAGACACCCGGAGCUCAGCCCCCGCCAGCCUAGGACUCCAGCAACACCACAGAAAUGCUAGAACUCUCCGCCCAGUGGAAGUGACCGCCUUGUCUCCACCAGGACAGUGAUGAGGGCACUGUGGUGAGCCCACAGUGCAUCUCUUCUUAGGAGAAGCUCCUGUGUUCUGUUGGAUGAAUCUGUGUAAAUCUGUGUCUGGUUUGGCUACUGAGAAUAUGGGAGAAUUCACAGUACUUGAAUAGAAUAAAAACCUAUUUUUGGCCUAA